rnacentral:rRNA from 1 species
AGGAUGAACGCUAGCGACAGGCUAACACAUGCAAGUCGAGGGGUAACAGGGUAGCAAUACCGCUGACGACCGGCGCACGGGUGAGUAACGCGUAUGCAACCUGCCUAGUAACUGGGGGAAUAGCUCCCUGAAAGGGGAAUUAACACCGCAUAACACUAUUGAUUCGCAUGGAUUGGUAGUUAAAUGUAGCGAUACAGGUUAUAGAUGGGCAUGCGUGACAUUAGCUAGUUGGUGAGGUAACGGCUCACCAAGGCUACGAUGUCUAGGGGUUCUGAGAGGAAGGUCCCCCACACUGGUACUGAGACACGGACCAGACUCCUACGGGAGGCAGCAGUGAGGAAUAUUGGUCAAUGGGCGCAAGCCUGAACCAGCCAUGUCGCGUGCAGGAAGACUUCGCCCUAGUGGGUUGUAAACUGUCUUUUAUAGUAGAAGAAACACAUCUACGCGUAGAUGUCUGCCAGUAUACUAUGAAUAAGCAUCGGCUAACUCCGUGCCAGCCGCAGC